rnacentral:rRNA from 1 species
GACGAACGCUGGCGGCGUGCUUAACACAUGCAAGUCGAACGGAAAGGCCCUGCUUUUGUGGGGUGCUCGAGUGGCGAACGGGUGAGUAACACGUGAGUAACCUGCCCUUGACUUUGGGAUAACUUCAGGAAACUGGGGCUAAUACCGGAUAGGAGCUCCUGCUGCAUGGUGGGGGUUGGAAAGUUUCGGCGGUUGGGGAUGGACUCGCGGCUUAUCAGCUUGUUGGUGGGGUAGUGGCUUACCAAGGCUUUGACGGGUAGCCGGCCUGAGAGGGUGACCGGCCACAUUGAUACUGAGAUACGGCCCAGACUCCUACGUGAGGCAGCAGUCGGGAAUAUUGCACAAUGGGCGGAAGCCUGAUGCAGCAACGCCGCGUGCGUGAUGACGGCCUUCGGGUUGUAAACCGCUUUCGCCUAUUACGAAGCGUGAUUGACGGUAAUGGGUAAAGAAGCACCGGCUAACUACGUG